rnacentral:misc_RNA from 1 species
UACAGAGGGUGCAAGCGUUAAUCGGAAUUACUGGGCGUAAAGGGUGUGUAGGUGGUUUGUUGAGUUCACUGUGAAAGUUCUAGGCUUAACCUGGAAAAGUCGGUGAAGACGGACAAACUAGAGAACAGGAGAGGGCAGAGGAAUUUCCGGAGUAGCGGUGAAAUGCGUAGAUACCGGAAGGAACACCAGUGGCGAAGGCGUCUGUCUGGUCUGUUUCUGACACUGAAACACGAAGGCGUGGGUAGCGAACAGG